rnacentral:rRNA from 1 species
UACGUAGGUGGCGAGCGUUGUCCGGAUUUAUUGGGCGUAAAGCGCCCGCAGGCGGCCUGGCAAGUUUCAGGUGAAAUCUCCCGGCUUAACUGGGAGGGGUCCUGGAAAACUGUCAGGCUUGAGGCAGGGAGAGGGAUGUGGAAUUCCCGGUGUAGUGGUGAAAUGCGUAGAUAUCGGGAGGAACACCAGUGGCGAAGGCGGCAUCCUGGCCCUGUCCUGACGCUCAGGGGCGAAAGCGUGGGGAGCAAACCGG